rnacentral:lncRNA from 1 species
AGAGAGGAAAAAGCAGGACAAACCAACCCAAGCUCAGGCCUUCGCUGCUCCGAACCGGCUCCAGCGCUGACACCGCACCCGAUAUCACCAUCUCCGGUCCUGUAUGGUGUUUCGGUAAAAUCGCUGUAUACCAGAGAUAUAAGAGGAGAAGCGGGUCGGUAUUAGGCACCGCAGAGAGCAUAAAAUGAUUAUUACUCUUUAAUUAGACGGCGAUUAAGCUUACUCAUACCGGAGUCGGGCUUGUGGUCAGGAUCCGCAGGGGCUGGGGCUGGAGCUGGCGCCGAAGCGGCAGCAACGCCUAGAAGGAGACGAGAUGACCGAAUAAGGAUUUUACUACGGUGCCCCUAAUAAUACUUUAUAAAAAAUUAAAUGAAAUGGGGAACGCGAGGGUACAUAUGUACUUUUACCUGACUCCGAAGGGAUGUCGCGAAGUGGCGGGAGUGUUGAGGCAUCUGCACGAGAAUCGGUAACCCAAGAACGCACCCAUCGUUAUAACUUACCCCAGUCACAGAUUAACUGGGUGAACCGGCCCCCGUGCCAACAAGAGCGUGUAGUGACCCAUUUUUCAGACCAUGAUGGCGACACAUGGUUACCUUCAGCGCACGUUAGCGUGCUUGGAUUGCAAAUAGCGGGAAAAAAUUUCACAAAAGUUGUUUGUUUGUUUUCUUUUUUUUUUUUUUGAUGAAAGAUACAACGGCGAUCCGGGUUUGGUAACUUACGGCUAUCAGCCACCGUUGGAUCACCCACCUCAGAGAUCUCAAAGCGUUCC